GUUUUUUUGGAUGGUGUUGCUCCAGUCAAUCAGGCUGGCAUUGACCACUACAACAAACUGAUCGAUGCACUGCUAAGCUAGAGAUUGCAGUUGAACCCGGAGAAUACGGUGGGCGUCAUGAUGAUGGCCAGCACGGACGUGCAUGUGCUCGUUACGCCCGCCAGCGACCUUGGGAUGAUCCUUGCCAGUAUGCACGGCAUGCAGGUUGUUAGUGAAGAUGGAUACAGAGUGAAGUGUGAACAGCCAUUUACAGAACCAGAUUUAG